rnacentral:tRNA from 1 species
GCGGGCGUAGCUCAGUGGUAGAGCGAUUCGUUGCCAACGAAUAGGUCGUCGGUUCGACCCCGAUCGCCCGCUCCA